AACGCGAAGAACCUUACCAACCUUUGACAUCCCGGUCGCGGACACCAGAGAUGGAGUCUUUCAGUUCGGCUGGACCGGAGACAGGUGCUGCAUGGCUGUCGUCAGCUCGUGUCGUGAGAUGUUGGGUUAAGUCCCGCAACGAGCGCAACCCUCGCCCUUAGUUGCCAUCAUUUAGUUGGGCACUCUAAGGGGACUGCCGGUGAUAAGCCGCGAGGAAGGUGGGGAUGACGUCAAGUCCUCAUGGCCCUUACAGGUUGGGCUACACACGUGCUACAAUGGCGGUGACAGUGGGACGCAAAGGGGCAACCCUGUGCAAAUCUCAAAAAGCCGUCUCAGUUCGGAUUGUGCUCUGCAACUCGAGCACAUGAAGUUGGAAUCGCUAGUAAUCGCAGAUCAGCACGCUGCGGUGAAUACGUUCCCGGGCCUUGUA
rnacentral:rRNA from 1 species